UACGUAGGUGGCAAGCGUUGUCCGGAUUUAUUGGGUUUAAAGGGUGCGUAGGCGGCCUUGUAAGUCAGUGCUGAAAUAUCCCGGCUUAACCGGGGGGGUGGCAUUGAUACUGCAGGGCUUGAGUAAAGUUGAGGUUGGCGGAAUUGACGGUGUAGCGGUGAAAUGCUUAGAUAUCGUCAAGAACACCGAUAGUGAAGACAGCUAACUAAGCUUUAACUGACGCUGAGGCACGAAAGUGUGGGGAUCAAACAGG
rnacentral:rRNA from 1 species